rnacentral:rRNA from 1 species
AGUGAACGCUGGCGGUAGGCCUAACACAUGCAAGUCGAACGGCAGCACAGUAAGAGCUUGCUCUUACGGGUGGCGAGUGGCGGACGGGUGAGGAAUACAUCGGAAUCUACUUUUUCGUGGGGGAUAACGUAGGGAAACUUACGCUAAUACCGCAUACGACCUACGGGUGAAAGCAGGGGAUCUUCGGACCUUGCGCGAUUGAAGGAGCCGAUGUCGGAUUAGCUAGUUGGCGGGGUAAAGGCCCACCAAGGCGACGAUCCGUAGCUGGUCUGAGAGGAUGAUCAGCCACACUGGAACUGAGACACGGUCCAGACUCCUACGGGAGGCAGCAGUGGGGAAUAUUGGACAAUGGGCGCAAGCCUGAUCCAGCCAUACCGCGUGGGUGAAGAAGGCCUUCGGGUUGUAAAGCCCUUUUGUUGGGAAAGAAAAGCAGCAGGUUAAUACCCCGCUGUUCUGACGGUACCCAAAGAAUAAGCACCGGCUAACUUCGUG